rnacentral:sRNA from 1 species
AAACCAAAGACUCAUACGGACUACAGCUUCAGCAUCAAAGCUUUGAAAAGCAAGAAGAAGCUUGGUUAGUGUUUUGAAGCCACAUACGACUA